rnacentral:lncRNA from 1 species
CGUAUCAAUUGAACCCUCAAACCGAGUUGUUUGCAAAUUUUGCCUUUUGCUUAUGUCUAAGUAGGGAGCAUUAUUGAAUAAAUUUGGUUUUGGAAUCUAAAGUUGGGGAGAGUAAAGUAAAAAUAUGUGAUUAGAAACUUGGAAAAGUGAGUUUUUAUGAAAGGGUGAAAAUAUGAAAAGAAACAAGAAAAAUAAAUCACCCUUGAAACCAUAGAGCAAAGAAAAAGAAAAGAAAGAAAAAAGCAAAGAAAAUGCUCAUGGUUGUGUCGAUGUGAAAAGAAAAAGAAAAAGAAAAGAUAGGGAUCAAAGAAAUGGAAAUUGUGUAGAGUUGAAUGUUUGGGAAUGCUCCCUUAGGAUAAGCAACUUUGUUGAAUUCUCUUAAUCAUAUCCUUUCUUGUAACCUAAGCCACAUUACAACCUUUGAAAGACCUAUUGAUUCUCAUUUUUCACAUGAUUUGUU